UUUUCUCUCCUAAAGGACUAAGGCACUAGACACAACAUUCAGUGAUUAUAUGUUUAUCCUUUGAUGCAGAUGCAGAUGCAGUCCUUGAUUCUUCCCUUGAUCGGCUGGUUUGCUAAGCAUAAGGGGUGGCAGAAUCACACGCUUUCAGAUAGCACUUUGUGUUACAAUUAUUACAGUAGGUGUUAUGUCAAGUGGUUUCGGAUCAUUCUCAGCCCUCUCUGAGAUAAUUGAAGAAUUGUUUCGAUGAAGUUUUGUGGCUUAAAUCCUAGACUAUGAGAUAUGUAGCAACCAAAGUCUAGCGCACCUACAAUUCUACACAAUUUUUAAUUUCUCAUCUCAAUUGUUUAGUCAUUUUUCUAUGAUAGUCGAUUUCCCAUUGUUUGUGACA